CACUGCAAGCAGCCCGGACAUCAUAAGAAGCAGUGUCCAACUUAUCUGGCCAAGCUGAAAAAUAAACCAGGGGUUUCAGGUAACGCGGCGGCUAAGUAAAGGAGAAAUCAAUGUUUAUCAAGCAGACGGUUCAGCAGCCCCAGCUUUAGCAUUAGGAAAUAUUAGUAUUUCGUUUGGUAGUGGUAGAGUUUUAGCUUUAAAAGACACAUUAUAUGUACCUUCCGUUAGAAGGAAUUUAAUUUCGGUUUCUAGCGCUA